CAAAACGCGGCAGCCGGGGAGAGGAGCUCCCCAAGUGUGAAGCGAGGAGGUCUGACAGGCGCCAGCUUGGCGAUGCGUCACUACACUCGUCUCAACGUGUCUCUCAGUCUGUCCGUACCCGCCGUCACGUGGUCUCGUCACGAGGCCUUCCUUCUUGCCCUCAACUGCGAAAGUAUAAGAGCAGCUGCCCCCGGACGCCAAGAGAGAGGCUCCGAUUUCUUCUGUCGAGUUACGUGCUCUCCCGUCUCUCACUUCGGUCGACCUGACCGCCCGCUCUUUUGCGAUGUUAGAAUAAACCAGUUGUUCUGUUACCAGUCGACUCAUGCUUUGCCGAGACCUUCGGAUGCUUCCAGUGCCCCAGGCCGCCAGGCCAACGCUACCCUUGGGGCUUGCGACCCAUUUGCAACAACGGGCGUCAGCGCUGAGUUUGCAACAACUCGUGCCAGCGGUGCGAUAUCCAACAGCUGGUGUCAGCGGUGAGAUUCUAACAGCGCCUACGACACGUCCGUUAACAUCGGCCGACUGAAUGGAACUCUCGCCACUCAGGAAAGGAACCGAAGGAAUCACGCUGCUUGUGGCAGCCUCUUCUAUUCAUCGUGUCAACGCCAACCAGCUAUUUGCGAUGAUCACCGCGUGUGUCACACUGGUGCGCGACAGCACGUGUGCGCGAGCCAGUUUCCUUUACGCCAAAGACGCAAGAAUGAAACCGGCAAAGUUAUAGCGUUCGAUUAACCACUUCCCGAUAGCUUAAUCGCUUCACAUAGAUUCCAAAAUGUGCGUUGGAUCUGCAUAAUGUUUUUUUUUCUUUAUUGCCCGUUAGCAUAACCUGCUCGCCAGCACUUAGUAAGUCAGAUAUGCCAAAACUCGUUUCUUGGCGGCGUCAUGACUAUACGAUCAAAAAACGUAACGUGUUACGAUCUUGUCGCACUAGUGUCGCUUAAACAUUUGGUGGAAUCGACCUUGUUUACUGCGCAGAACUGCCGGAUGGCGAUGAGCCUGUUCACUUGGUGGAACAGCUUCUGCAUAUCACUCCACUGUAUGCUGGUAGUCGGCGCUCUCACCAGCAAGGUCACCAGGGAAAAUUUCACAGUGAUUAUCCGCUGGCUGUUACUGAUAAUUGUCGUCCUGAUGAUUAAGAGUCACUACACACGUCGAGUGCACACGUACUACCAACACGUGAAGCCCCUGAACACCUUACAAUCAAUGAUCAAGAGGAC